AACGAACGCUGGCGGCGGGCCUCAUACAUGCAAGUCGAGCGUGAAAGUCCGCAAGGAUGAGUAAAGCGGCGCACGGGUGAGUAACACGUGGGUAAUCUACCUCUUGGAUUGGAAUAACCUGUCGAAAGACGGGCUAAUGCCGAGUAAGUUCUCUUGAACGUGAAGUUCGAGCGAAGAAAGAUGGCGUAAGCUAUCGCCGAGAGAUGAGCCUGCGUCCCAUUAGUUAGUUGGGGGUAAGUGG
rnacentral:rRNA from 1 species